rnacentral:rRNA from 1 species
AUUGAACGCUGGCGGCAGGCUUAACACAUGCAAGUCGAGCGGGGUGAUGGUGCUUGCACUAUCACUUAGCGGCGGACGGGUGAGUAAUGCUUAGGAAUCUGCCUAUUAGUGGGGGACAACAUCUCGAAAGGGAUGCUAAUACCGCAUACGUCCUACGGGAGAAAGCAGGGGAUCACUUGUGACCUUGCGCUAAUAGAUGAGCCUAAGUCGGAUUAGCUAGUUGGUGGGGUAAAGGCCUACCAAGGCGACGAUCUGUAGCGGGUCUGAGAGGAUGAGCCGCCACACUGGGACUGAGACACGGCCCAGACUCCUACGGGAGGCAGCAGUGGGGAAUAUUGGACAAUGGGGGGAACCCUGAUCCAGCCAUGCCGCGUGUGUGAAGAAGGCCUUAUGGUUGUAAAGCACUUUAAGCGAGGAGGAGGCUCUUUUGGUUAAUACCCAGGAUGAGUGGACGUUACUCGCAGAAUAAGCACCGGCUAACUCUGUGCCAGCCGCCGCGGUAAAAC